GACACUCUUUCCCUGUUGCACUACUAUGGGCCACUGGGAAGCAGUGCAAUGAUGAAAGGGCAUCGGUCAGGUC
ensembl:miRNA